rnacentral:rRNA from 1 species
UACGUAGGCAGCGAGCGUUGUUCGGAAUUACUGGGCGUAAAGAGUGUGUAGGCGGUGCUCCAAGUCUGUCGUGAAAUCUCCCGGCUCCACUGGGAGGGUGCGGCGGAAACUAGAGUGCUCGAGUGUGGGAGAGGUAAGCGGAAUUCCUGGUGUAGCGGUGAAAUGCGUAGAUAUCAGGAGGAACACCGGUGGUGUAGACGGCUUUCUGGACCGUAACUGACGCUGAGACACGAAAGCGUGGGUAGCAAACAGG